rnacentral:rRNA from 1 species
AGCGAACGCUGGCGGCAGGCCUAACGCAUGCAAGUCGAGCGCCCCGCAAGGGGAGCGGCAGACGGGAGAGUAACACGUGGGAACGUACCCUUCAGUUCGGAACAACCCAGGGAAACUUGGGCUAAUACCGGAUACGUCCGUAAGGAGAAAGAUUUAUCGCUGAAGGAUCGGCCCGCGUCCGAUUAGCUAGUUGGUGAGGUAACGGCUCACCAAGGCGACGAUCGGUAGCUGGUCUGAGAGGAUGAUCAGCCUCACUGGGACUGAGACACGGCCCAGACUCCUACGGGAGGCAGCAGUGGGGAAUAUUGGACAAUGGGCGCAAGCCUGAUCCAGCCAUGCCGCGUGGAUGAUGAAGGCCCUAGGGUUGUAAAGUCCUUUCGGCGGUGAAGAUAAUGACGGUACCCGCAGAAGAAGCCCCGGCUAACUUCGUGCCAGCCGCCGCGGUAAGAC